AGUGAACGCUGGCGGUAGGCCUAACACAUGCAAGUCGAACGGCAGCACAGUAAGAGCUUGCUCUUACGGGUGGCGAGUGGCGGACGGGUGGGGAAUACAUCGGAAUCUACUUUUUCGUGGGGGAUAACGUAGGGAAACUUACGCUAAUACCGCAUACGACCUACGGGUGAAAGCAGGGGAUCUUCGGACCUUGCGCGAUUGAAUGAGCCGAUGUCGGAUUAGCUAGUUGGCGGGGUAAAGGCCCACCAAGGCGACGAUCCGUAGCUGGUCUGAGAGGAUGAUCAGCCACACUGGAACUGAGACACGGUCCAGACUCCUACGGGAGGCAGCAGUGGGGAAUAUUGGACAAUGGGCGCAAGCCUGAUCCAGCCAUACCGCGUGGGUGAAGAAGGCCUUCGGGUUGUAAAGCCCUUUUGUUGGGAAAGAAAAUCAGCAGGUUAAUACCCCGCUGUUCUGACGGUACCCAAAGAAUAAGCACCGGCUAACUUCGUG
rnacentral:rRNA from 1 species